UACGGUCAUGUCAUAUUGAAACACCGGUUCCCAUACGACCACCUAAGUUAAGCAAGAUUGAGCCUGGUCAGUACCUAGAUAGGUGACUGAUUGGAAAUAUCAGGUGCU